rnacentral:lncRNA from 1 species
AGACUCUUCAUCAUCCAUCACUACACACAUCUCCUCUUGCAAACCAACAAAAAACCCUAACUAAGAGAUCAAUAUGGCUGGAGUGAUGAAGUUGGCAUGCUUGGUCUUGGCCUGCAUGAUUGUGGCCGGUCCAAUGACAGCGAACGCGGCUCUGAGUUGUGGCACCGUUAACAGCAACUUGGCAGGGUGCAUUGGCUACUUGACCCAAGGUGCAGCCCUUACCCAAGGGUGUUGUAAUGGCGUUACUAACCUAAGAAACAUGGCUCGUACAACCCCAGACCGUCAGCAAGCUUGCCGUUGCCUUCAAUCUGCCGCUAGAGCUGUUGGCCCUGGUCUCAACACUGGCCGUGCAGCUGGACUUCCUAGCGCAUGCAAAGUCAAUAUUCCUUACAAAAUCAGCACCAGCACUAACUGCAACACGUAUGUUAAUCUCUCACUCUUAAGUAUAUAUUAUAAAGAAUUUUUUUGUUGUUAAAUAUUGGAAACUUAUAUUGACGGUGUUAUGUUAAUUUGUAUGUGAAUGCAGCGUGAGGUGAUGAGCGACAGUCAAAUGAAGCUACUAGCGGAUGUUUCGAAUACUAUAUAAUCGAUGAGAUAAUAAUACUAAAUAAAAUGUUCGAAUGGCUGUUUUUAGAGUUUUAUAUUUCCUGUUUUUUUCUAUCGUGGCGUUUCUAUUAUGUUGUCGUCUGUACUCUGUACUAUGUUCGCAAACAACGUUAUAUGAAUUUCAGUUUCAAUUUAAGUUAUUCUAUACUCUUAUUAACGCUUACUUUAGUUUAAUCGAUAUGACAAAAAUGAUUAAUUUGCAAUACCGUUGGGGAGUAUCAAGUAUAACAACAUUUUGUAUUUAUUUGUGAUAUCGGGAAUCUCAAAACCAAAGUCCACACUAAUUUUUUGACUAGACAUAAAGUCAGAUACUAAUACUAUAGUUGAAAUGUACAUUCGAAAAAAUGACUUUCCGAUCCAAAUGUAAGUUAUUUACAUUAUUUGUUAUUAUAAUAAAAACAAUAAAAUGUCUAAGGGUCUAAAUGGUAACCAAAGAAUCUGACUGAAUCCGGCUGAAUUGUUGAAUUUGGCUGAAUUUUUAGUGAUUUUUAACUGAAUCUGGCUGAAUUUUUACAUUUUCAAAUGGUACCUGCUGAAUUUAGCUGAAUUUUUUUGUGCUUUUCAGCAGAAUCUGUCGAAAUAAUUAAGACUUUAACUGAAAUAUCAUCAAAUAAUUACGAAUAUUAAUAGAAUAACUAAGGAAAAAUAUCUAAAUAAAAUAAAUAAAAUUAUCUAAUAGUCUAAUUAACUCUUAUACCAAUAAAUAAAUACUAGAAUUAAUAUCUUUUUAGCAAAAUUGAGUUGUUCUUCCAGAUCUAAUUUUUGAACUAUUAAAAAGAUAUAAUUAAUUAAUAGAAAGCUUUGUCAAAGUUUUAUUGAAAAAUUAAUUUAAAAAUAAACAUGAUAAUAUAGUAUAGAUUAUCUUAUUGAUUUUUUAUUGUUUUCUAGCGGUUUAAAUCCUUAAUAUGAUUAGGAAUUUAGGAUGAUUAACAAUUUUUUUUAGUUUGAUAUUUUAAAUAUUAUUCUAGCAUAAGUAUGAGUUAUUUUUGCAAAAAUUUGGAAAAUUAUAUUUAAGUAUCUAAAAUUUAUUAAAAUUAUCUAUAGAUAUCUGAACAUAAAUAUGUCUCUUGUCUAUUCUGGUAAUGAUUUUAUGUGUAUGAAUGAUUCAUAUAUCGUAUUUGUAUGAUCUAACUUAUUUUAAAAUAUAUAUUUGAUGUGUAAUUUUUAAUAGCCAUAAAUAUUUUAAUUCGAGUUGUGAAUCGCUAUAAUCCAAAUUUUUAUCUGAAAUGAACAUACUAUGUAUCUGUUGAUGUUGGAAAAACUGUUGAAUCUGGCUGAAUUCAGCUGAAUUUAAUUAGUUUUAUGCAAAUGGUAACUGCGGAAUUGCUGAAUUUGGCUGAAUCUGACUGAAUAUUUUUUUCUUGUUACCAUUUACACUCUAAGUUUUAAAUCUUAUAUCAUUAUAUCCAAACAAUUUUUCACAAUUUUUUUAAUCCUCUUCUGUUCAUACAAUCGAACACAAUUUUUGAAACAAAUUAACCUUUGCAAUACGACAUCGGAUAGAAACUAAUUCCCUAUCAAUUGGGAAGUGACAUAUAAUUUUACAACAGGAAAUAAAGUAGGAGUUUCUCCAAGUUUGUAUUUUCCGAAUAAAGUAUUCUCCAAGUUUGCAAUAUUUACUGGUGAAUGAUAACCGUUUAAGACCAAGCAUGACAACUUAACUAAAGUUACUGUCACACUCUACAAAUACGUUAAUGAAAUGUAUUUUAGUAGAAUUAUCACUUUUCAUACGAUAAAGUUAAAUUAACAUGUCAAAACAAAAUCGAGGAGUGGUCCUAUACAUAGUUAGGAAUUAGGAACCUCAACAUUAAAUGAGUACAACAACCAACUACUCUCCUUCCCUCUAUAAUCUAUCGCAUUCACACCACAUAACAAAUACUUUCCUACUCUAUAUAAACACACACUCCCCUAACUCUCUUCAUCAUCCAUCACUCACACACAUCUCCUCUUGCAAACCAACAUAAAACACUAACUAAGAGAUCAAUAUGGCUGGAGUGAUGAAGUUGGCAUGCUUGGUCUUGGCCUGCAUGAUUGUGGCCGGCCCAAUCACAUCGAACGCGGCUCUAAGCUGUGGCUCAGUUAACAGCAACUUGGCACCGUGCAUUGGUUACGUGCUCCAAGGUGGUACCAUUCCCGCAGGGUGCUGCUCC